ensembl:snoRNA SNORD26 Small nucleolar RNA SNORD26
CUGCAGGGAUGAUUUAGAUCCUGAACUCUCUCUUUCUGAUGCUAUAGUGGAGAAGACAGGAAAAUGUCUCUGAGUAGC